AUGGGAAAGUGCAAAAAGGGGUAAAAUUGAGAAGCUAUUAGAAAUAUGAAUCUAAGGGUUUCAAAAAGGCUUAUAUAGGUAUCUAUGUAGUUAAUAUUACAAACCUAAUGAUUCAAAUGGCGUUAUAAAAGUAGAUGUUUGUAAGCUAGUAUAGCCUGUUUAUUCUCAUGCUUAUUCUUGAUGAUCCACAGACAUGGCGAACUACACCUGUUUAUACUAUCUAUACCUUCAACAUGUGCCAUUACUUCAAUGCCAUAUCUGUGAAUUACUGCGAUAUUAAUGUGCUUACACAUGCUGGUGUGGCCUCGUAAGAUGUUUUGUUAUCCCAUGCACAGUAAAAAAUAAAGAAUUAAAAAAAAAUAGAUGUCAAACUAAUGUUGCAAUUUAAAUAGUAACAUUCUGGGGUAAUUAGAUAGGGAUAUAUAG